UUGAGAAUUAGAGCAGUUUUGUUCAUUUACAAGAUUGCAAGCAACAAGGAAAACAAAACAAAACUCUGAGAGAAUGUGAAAAAGAAAACAAAAGCACAAUUUUUGCUUGGGCAGCAGUAGGCUACUCGGGUCACUGCAGCUCUUCGGAAGAAACCACAGCAAGAGCAGAGUAACCUGGGGAGUAACUGCACAAAGCAAAGGGCACCCUGGAUUCGAAGGCUGGAACUAAGCAGGAAAGCAAGCAAGAAAUCCGGUAUUUUGGGAAUGGACAGCUGACGUGCCACCUUAAAAAAAAUAAAUAAAAAUCCAACAGCCUUCUGCUGCACUCACAGGUCAGGUGGCUGGACAACUGCCAGCAACAAAGGUGCAAGCCACACCAACAGGAAGGGCUUAGUAUUUCUAGGCUCUGCACCAUGCUGGUGCAUGUAGCUACAUGGCCUGUGGAAUGGAGCCCGCUCGUCCUCCUGCCUUGGCACGAGUGUCUGCUUGCAAAAGAGAAGAGCAAGUGCAUGUCUGUGAUGUGUGUUCUGUGGGAAAAGUGGAUGGAGGCCUCUUCCCUCUACAGUGUAGUACUGCAUGCUAAGGAAAUGCAGAGCAUUCAUCUUAGUCCAGGAGAUAAUCAAAUAAAAAUCACAUGAAACCCAUUCUUAAAUGGCCUUGGUGUAAAGGGAAGGAAGUCUUUAGGGGCCAGAAGGUUUUACAUCUGAUGCUAUUAGGUUAUUUUUUCCUAGGAUUCAUAUAUUGCCUCUUAUAACCACAGAGAAGGAGCAUGAAAUCUCCUAUUGACAUAUAAAAUAUCCCAUGCCACCCAUUCAUGUCAGUAGCAGCACGAAGCAGUGGAAGAAUGAGGCAACUACCACGUCAAAAGGGGCUGCCUCCAAGAUGCCAGAGCACUCAGAAGUGAGCAUAUGUUUGACUUCCCUGAGUUUAGAAGACAACUGCAAAACCUGAUAGCGUAAUUUUCAGGUACACCUAGGAAAAGCUGUGUUAUUAGAAAGAUUGGAAUCAAAACAGCAGCAAUUUCAGCCUGAAGGAAAAGAGCAACUGCAGUUCAUAAAGGAUCACAAACCGUGGGUAACAGAACCUUAAAAAUCUGGAAGCGACUCCUUUAACUUCAGUAACAGCUUGCUCAGACAAGGACAGCUCUGAAACUGGACCAACAUUGACACCUAGUGGCUGCUCAGAAGCCAGACGUUUUCCGUGGAGCUCGUCACCCUUUCAUGUCAGGAUCUCAGUAAUGGGAUGUGACGGAGUGAUUUUCCAAACAAGGAACCAAUUGCAGUUAGCUCCUUCUAGAGUCUUAAUGCAGGCUUUCUGUCAGGAGGUGCCAGAUGUCACAGAACAUGAAUGGUUUUCUCUUGACAGACAGAAACCUGAAGAUGCCAUACUUUUGGACACUAGGCAAUACAACCUCCAUUUGUUUUCCUCACUGUGAUUAACACUUUUUAGAGCUGCCUGAAGUUUUCUGUUACUGCAACUCUCAAAGACACAGCUCAAUCUUCAUAUUAAAACCAAACAUCUUCUUUCUUCUGAUCUCCUAAAGUCUUGGAGAACUUUACUGUAAAUGAUGAUUUGAGUGAUCACUUAGGCACUGUAACAUCACUCUAUCACAGUAAAACAAAAUAAAGAAGAAAAUGUAAAUUAAGUAAAUAAACCAAAGACAUUGAAGCAAACAGCACUUUUUUAUCAUCAUUCCUCCUCUGUUCCUGAAAAUCUGCAACAGAUCUUAACAGAGAUUGUUUCUGAAAGAGGAAUCAAAAUUAAAUAAAAUCAAUUAAAAAAAAAAAAUAAACCUCUGGCAAUCGAUGGGAGCAGCCAUAAAGGUGAUCUGCCUGUACUGGGGAAAAUACUGACA